UUCAAUAGGCUUCCCAACGACAAGGCGACGGCGCAUUCGUAUGUCAUCCAUAUCAACUUUCAAUGCCAUUUACUGUGCCUACCAUGGUGACCACGGGUAACGGGAAAUCAGGGUUUGAUUCUGGAGAGGGAGCCUGAGAAACGGCUACCACAUGCAAGGAAGGCA